rnacentral:rRNA from 1 species
AAAUUGAAGAGUUUGAUCAUGGCUCAGAUUGAACGCUGGCGGCAGGCCUAACACAUGCAAGUCGAACGGUAACAGGAAACAGCUUGCUGUUUCGCUGACGAGUGGCGGACGGGUGAGUAAUGUCUGGGAAACUGCCUGAUGGAGGGGGAUAACUACUGGAAACGGUAGCUAAUACCGCAUAACGUCGCAAGACCAAAGAGGGGGACCUUCGGGCCUCUUGCCAUCAGAUGUGCCCAGAUGGGAUUAGCUAGUAGGUGGGGUAACGGCUCACCUAGGCGACGAUCCCUAGCUGGUCUGAGAGGAUGACCAGCCACACUGGAACUGAGACACGGUCCAGACUCCUACGGGAGGCAGCAGUGGGGAAUAUUGCACAAUGGGCGCAAGCCUGAUGCAGCCAUGCCGCGUGUAUGAAGAAGGCCUUCGGGUUGUAAAGUACUUUCAGCGGGGAGGAAGGGAGUAAAGUUAAUACCUUUGCUCAUUGACGUUACCCGCAGAAGAAGCACCGGCUAACUCCGUGCCAGCAGCCGCGGUAAUACGGAGGGUGCAAGCGUUAAUCGGAAUUACUGGGCGUAAAGCGCACGCAGGCGGUUUGUUAAGUCAGAUGUGAAAUCCCCGGGCUCAACCUGGGAACUGCAUCUGAUACUGGCAAGCUUGAGUCUCGUAGAGGGGGGUAGAAUUCCAGGUGUAGCGGUGAAAUGCGUAGAGAUCUGGAGGAAUACCGGUGGCGAAGGCGGCCCCCUGGACGAAGACUGACGCUCAGGUGCGAAAGCGUGGGGAGCAAACAGGAUUAGAUACCCUGGUAGUCCACGCCGUAAACGAUGUCGACUUGGAGGUUGUGCCCUUGAGGCGUGGCUUCCGGAGCUAACGCGUUAAGUCGACCGCCUGGGGAGUACGGCCGCAAGGUUAAAACUCAAAUGAAUUGACGGGGGCCCGCACAAGCGGUGGAGCAUGUGGUUUAAUUCGAUGCAACGCGAAGAACCUUACCUGGUCUUGACAUCCACGGAAGUUUUCAGAGAUGAGAAUGUGCCUUCGGGAACCGUGAGACAGGUGCUGCAUGGCUGUCGUCAGCUCGUGUUGUGAAAUGUUGGGUUAAGUCCCGCAACGAGCGCAACCCUUAUCCUUUGUUGCCAGCGGUCCGGCCGGGAACUCAAAGGAGACUGCCAGUGAUAAACUGGAGGAAGGUGGGGAUGACGUCAAGUCAUCAUGGCCCUUACGACCAGGGCUACACACGUGCUACAAUGGCGCAUACAAAGAGAAGCGACCUCGCGAGAGCAAGCGGACCUCAUAAAGUGCGUCGUAGUCCGGAUUGGGAGUCUGCAACUCGACUCCAUGAAGUCGGAAUCGCUAGUAAUCGUGGAUCAGAAUGCCACGGUGAAUACGUUCCCGGGCCUUGUACACACCGCCCGUCACACCAUGGGAGUGGGUUGCAAAAGAAGUAGGUAGCUUAACCUUCGGGAGGGCGCUUACCACUUUGUGAUUCAUGACUGGGGUGAAGUCGUAACAAGGUAACCGUAGGGGAACCUGCGGUUGGAUCACCUCCUUA